rnacentral:rRNA from 1 species
GGGGAAUUGUUCGCAAUGGGCGCAAGCCUGACGACGCAACGCCGCGUGGAGGACGAAGAUCUUCGGGUCGUAAACUCCUGUCGAGCGGGACGAACACUUACCGGGCUAACAUCCGGGUAGGCUGACGGUACCGCUACAGGAAGCCCCGGCUAACUCCGUGCCAGCAGCCGCGGUAAUACGGGGGGGGCAAGCGUUGUUCGGAAUUACUGGGCGUAAAGGGCGCGUAGGUGGCCCGGUCAGUCUUUGGUGAAAGCGCGGGGCUCAACCCUGCGUCGGCCAGGGAUACUGCCGCGGCUGGAGCACUGUAGAGGCAGGCGGAAUUCCGGGUGUAGCGGUGGAAUGCGUAGAGAUCCGGAAGAACACCGGUGGCGAAGGCGGCCUGCUGGGCAGUUGCUGACACUGAGGCGCGACAGCGUGGGGAGCAAAC